AGAGUUAAGCCGUUACUAAGAGACAGUUGGACUUGAGUUCUCUCUCUCUCUCUCUCUCUCUCUCUCUCUCUCUCUCUCUCUCUCUCUCUCUCUCUCUCUCUCUCUCUCUCUCUCUCUCUCUCUCUUUCUCUCUCUCUCUCUCUCUCUCUCUCUCUCUCUCUCUUGUUUUGACCUAGAGGGACUGGCUGUUUUCUCUUGGUAGGAAAUUCUACCUUAUCUUUUCCAUCUUACCUGCUUCCCUGCUGACUGAUAUCUACAGAGCUUCAUGAUGUGAUCCUGAACCAUCUGUCUAACUAGGAAAAUAAUGACAAAAUUCACCUUGAAGAAUGAAAGAACAUUGUACACAGUAACAAGAAUACUGUGAAAGAUCAACUGUGAAAGGCUUAGCUACUCUAAUCAAUACAAUGAUCUGGGACAAUUCUGAGGAACUUGUGACAAAGAAGGCUAUCCACUUCCAGGAUGAGUAAACUAAGACUGGGAUAUUAAAUUGCUUUCUUGGGUCUACACAACUACUUUCUGAAGAAGGAUUUAGACCAAGUUCUUCUUGAUUCUGAAUUCAACAUUCCACCACCUACCUAGCUAGACCUUUUGGGAGGCAUCUCCAUUUUCAAUGUAUCAUUGGACUACUUGCUUUAAAAAUCUGACUAGAUAUACUAAGUCCUUGGUCAUUAAAUCUGGUCCCCAAGAAUGGCAUCUAACCCCAAACCCAACCAUCCAACAGAAGAUAACAAAGCAGUUUGGAAUAUACAUUUAUUCAAUAAUAAGAAAGGAAUUUUGACUAACCGAACAAGAGAGAUUAGGGACAUAGAAUGAGAGGAUGGAAGGAAGGAUGGAGGAUAAAAAGAACCAUUGCAUCUGUGAAUCCUUGGAGGCCAGGCAAGUAACUCUUUCUCCACUGGUAAACAAAAUAUAGUCCUCUACUGAUGAUCCUGUAACACAGAAUGAAUUAUGUUGUGCAUGUACAAACAAUUGGAAACUGAGAUUAAUAAAUAUCUAUCAAG
rnacentral:lncRNA from 1 species